rnacentral:rRNA from 1 species
CAAGUCGAACGGACGGAUUGGAGCUUGCUCCAUGAAGUUAGUGGCGGACGGGUGAGUAACGCGUGGGUAACCUGCCCUAUGCAGGGGGACAACGUUUGGAAACGAACGCUAAUACCGCAUAACCUAGUUGGUUCGCAUGAACCGGCUAGCAAAGAUUUUAUCGGCAUAGGAUGGACCCGCGUUGGAUUAGCUAGUUGGUGAGAUAACAGCCCACCAAGGCAACGAUCCAUAGCCGGCCUGAGAGGGUGAACGGCCACACUGGGACUGAGACACGGCCCAGACUCCUACGGGAGGCAGCAGUGGGGAAUAUUGCACAAUGGGCGCAAGCCUGAUGCAGCGACGCCGCGUGAAGGAUGAAGGUCUUCGGAUCGUAAACUUCUAUCAGCAGGGAAGAAACCAUGACGGUACCUGACUAAGAAGCCCCGGCUAACUACGUGCCAGCAGCCGCGGUAAUACGUAGGGGGCAAGCGUUAUCCGGAAUUACUGGGUGUAAAGGGUGCGUAGGCGGCGAUUUAAGUCAGAUGUGAAAACUCAGGGCUCAACCUUGAGACUGCAUCUGAAACUGAGUUGCUAGAGUGCAGGAGAGGAAAGCGGAAUUCCGAGUGUAGCGGUGAAAUGCGUAGAGAUUCGGAGGAACACCAGUAGCGAAGGCGGCUUUCUGGACUGUAACUGACGCUGAGGCACGAAAGCGUGGGG